rnacentral:rRNA from 1 species
GAUGAACGCUGGCGGCGUGCCUAAUACAUGCAAGUCGAGCGAACAGACGAGGAGCUUGCUCCUCUGACGUUAGCGGCGGACGGGUGAGUAACACGUGGAUAACCUACCUAUAAGACGGGGAUAACUUCGGGAAACCGGAGCUAAUACCGGAUAAUAUAUUGAACCGCAUGGUUCAAUAGUGAAAGACGGUUUUGCUGUCACUUAUAGAUGGAUCCGCGCCGCAUUAGCUAGUUGGUAAGGUAACGGCUUACCAAGGCAACGAUGCGUAGCCGACCUGAGAGGGUGAUCGGCCACACUGGAACUGAGACACGGUCCAGACUCCUACGGGAGGCAGCAGUAGGGAAUCUGCCGCAAUGGGCGAAAGCCUGACGGAGCAACGCCGCGUGAGUGAUGAAGGUCUUCGGAUCGUAAAACUCUGUUAUUAGGGAAGAACAAAUGUGUAAGUAACUAUGCCCGUCUUGACGGUACCUAAUCAGAAAGCCACGGCUAACUACGUG